GCGGGUGUAGUUCAAUGGUAGAACAUCAGCUUCCCAAGCUGAGAGUGUGGGUUCGAUUCCCAUCACCCGCUCCA
rnacentral:tRNA from 2 species